GUACUCCAGUCUCGUAGGUGGCGGUAAUGCAACAAAUUGGAUGCCAACCGCCGUUAAACCUCAUAAAAACCUCGGGAAAAACCUUUGUUUAUUAUUUUCAAGAUGGCGGCGGGAAUGUAUUUAGAACAUUACCUUGACAGUAUAGAAAAUCUGCCGUUUGAGCUACAGAGGAAUUUCACUCUUAUGAGAGACCUGGACACACGGACAGAGGAUCUGAAAGGGCAGAUAGACUCUUUGGCUCGUGAGUACACGUCAAACACACACACCCUCUCCUCUGAGCAGAAGCUCUCCCUGCUCCGGCAGAUCCAGCAGUCAUAUGGCAAGUGUAAAGAGUUUGGAGAUGAUAAGGUCCAACUGGCCAUGCAGACCUAUGAGAUGGUGGACAAACACAUUCGCAGGCUGGACACAGACCUGGCCCGCUUCGAGGCAGACCUGAAGGAGAAAAAGAUUGAGAGCACAGACUAUGACUCAACCUCUAGUAAGGGAAUCAAGAGUGAGCUCAGGGGACCAAAAGAGAAGAAGGUGGCUCGCACAAGGUUAAAGGUGAAGUCAGAUGACGACUGCAGCCCCAAAAGCGGACAGAAGAAAGUCAAACUAACACAAGCGCCUGAGUUCACAGCCCCUACAGUGAACUUUGGGAACGUCCACCCCUCGGACGUGCUGGACAUGCCCGUGGACCCCAACGAGCCCACCUACUGCCUGUGUCACCAAGUGUCCUACGGAGAGAUGAUUGGCUGUGACAACACAGACAGAGAAGCAAUGACAUCACGUCCUGAGAUGACGGAAUUGAAAUGAACCCCAACCCUGAUUGGGUCAACUAUUCACUAUGAUCCAAAUCCUAACCUGAUAUCUGGGCACUAGAAUGUUCCUACAAAAAAUACCACAUUGACAUGAAUGUGUGAUUUUACCUAAAAGUUAGAUUUAUAAAACAGUGUUUAGAAAUGAGCGAUGGCUUUGGAAUUUUUGGCACUUAAAUCAAAGAUGAAUUAAGUAAAACCUAAAUAAAGGCUAGUUAAUUUUGGCCCACUAGAGGGCAGUAAAAGCAUUAUAAAAGUCUCUCCCGGCACUAAUGGAAUACUAAGCAGAAUGUAUUGUGUUGGACUCAUUGCAGUGCUCCAUUGAGUGGUUCCACUUCGCCUGCGUGGGGCUGACAACAAAACCCAGAGGAAAAUGGUACUGUCCAAGGUGUACUCAGGAGAGGAAGAAAAAAUGAACCCAGAGACAAUCAUAACCAACAAUCAUAACGCCAGAGUUUACAAAGGAGGGUUCAGUGUUUGUAUUGGAACAUGGGGAAACCCUCCAUAAACACUAACAUGGACCCCGCAGGGUCAUGUUUAAUAGGUCACACCGUCGCAAAUUGUCAAAACCAAAAUGAGCAUUGGACAAGUCCAGAGUAGCCCCUUCCCUGUAUCAGUCCAUAUUCUUCAGUUCAGUGUCUAAUGAACAUGACACCCACACACACACAGUAUUAGGGUCCUGCUGGUCUGCCAUCCUGUAUAAUUCUUUGUUAAACAGAAAGAAGCAAUGAUGGACAUUUGACAGAGGUGUAGUUACAGACAUUCCCCAAUCAUGACUAUUAUGUUGCAUUUUAUUUUUGAACUUUUUUUGACAGAUGCUUUAAUGUCUUUAUAUGCAGAGUAAUACAGGGACGUAUACCCUUAUUUUACAGCCGGUGGUUCUAUAUGGCUCUCAGCCACUUGGUUGCUUCAUGACAGACUAACAGCAACUCCUACUGGAUGCUUUUAUACUGAACACUAUUCAGCCCUGAUACACGCAGAUCACAUGUGUUAACUCUAAUUUUCCAACUUCACCCCUGGUUAUUUCCAUAUCAGACUUUUGGGGGACAGAACAUUUAUUGAUUAAGCAGAGUCAUUGAUUUAGUUGAUAGAUUUGACUCAAUGAGAAUAUACAGAUCUAGAUGUCCUAGUUCAGAAUGCAGUCGGAAGCAAUCAGAAGCAGACAGAAUUUCUCUCGCACAUUCGCUUAAACAGCAGUGACCUGAAUUGCAGGUUGUUUGCACAAAAUUAGUGCGCUGGAAAUGGAAUUGCUUAAAGGAAUGUAGAUGCUAACACUUUCAAAUAUAUAUGGAUAUUUUGAUAGGCCCCAACUCUCAUCAUUCAACAAUGUCCUGUAUAUUUCUAUUAUGGAGAGGCAUAUCUUUGACUGGCUAUGUUUAUGAAGAGCCUUAUUGAUCAUUACUGUAAGAAUAACAAUUUAAAUGUGCUUAAAAGUAUCAGAGUUACCUGAUACUUUGCCCAGUAGGUUUUGACUGGUGCCUCAAGAAUAUUAUUUCAAGUUAAACUAAUGAACAUUUAUUUUGUUGCCAUUUACUUUUUGUAUUCAAAGUGUAAUUGAAUACUGUACUGAAACAUUGGGUGCUGUUUUUGGUGUUUUUCCAUUAUGCAAUAAAGCUUUAAAAAAAGUAAAAUGA